UGGGAAUUUUUAGGGAAAGUUUCUUCAAGAUGGCUGGUGAUUGGGAAGGGCUAAUUACUAAUUGUGUACACCUGCAAAGGAGUGCUUUUGGCAGUGAUGGAAAGGGACAAUGAACAGGUGUGGAUCACUGCAUUAGGAUGCAAUGGGAAUAGUUAGAGGAAGCCCUGGAUGACAAAUAACCCAAGUUCCCCAUUUCAGCCAGACAGGAGAGUGAGGAAUUGACCUCGGGACCUGCAGAGAUUGGGCCACAUUUGUGUCUCUGCCACAGACAAGCAACAAAUACCAGAGUGCUAAGUGGAAAUUGGGCUUCUUGUUUCAGGAAGAGGUAAACAGCUUAGACGAAUGCUUCUCUCCUUCCUUGUUUUGCAGGGAAGAUGAAAUGCUCUUAAGCAGAGGGGAAGAAAAGAUGCAAGAAGAAAACAAAAAAGAAAAUAACUCCAAGGAAAAGAGAGAGAAGCUCGGAGCUCAUUUUGAAGAUGAGGAAACAGAGGCAAACAGGAUUGAAUGACUUUCCCAGAAUCACACAGGUGUGUUUGGUAUACAAAUGAGCAGCUGCUCCCAGAAGAUUCCUGGGGAAAGGUUAGACCUUCCAUGCAGCAUCUUCGAUGAAUGUUAGAACCCACUCGAUACAAAUGAACAUUUCAGCAAAGAGCACUUACAUUUGAUUAAUUGGUACACAUUUUACUGCCAUGGGGGUCUGGCCGGAGGAGUUGUUAAUCAUCCCGCUACAGGUUUGGAUGUCAGUACUCAAUAGGAUGCCCACACUCCCAUGAGGGAGGGACUGCUGCUGUCAGGCGAGUCUCGCGAUACCGCCAAAACAAAUGCUCUUUGCUCCCACUUUCCCUGAUUGACUGUGUCCCUCAGAUGGUCCAUGAAGCUCUGAAUGUAGGCAUUCUUGUUCACGCUGGGAACUGCCAAGAUGUCUGACACUGGAGAAGGCAGGAGGGACAAAACUCAUCGGAUUUCAUCGGUCAUGGUCCUUCAAAGGCAGCAGCAGUGGCAUUGUUAUUAAGCUGUUCAGAGCGCAGUGUCCUCGGAAGGAGGAUUAAGAAAGAGCAUUUGGAUCAACACUCUUCGGGAUAUGUCUGCACCAUCGGCAUAAUUUAACAUUGAUUGAAUGUCUGUUAUAAUAAUAUCUCACAUUUACCCAGUGCACUGACAUUGCGCACCCCCUCCCCAUCUUCAGUAGCUCCGUAUUGCCUCUUGUCAGAAUAAAAUUCAAAAUACUCAGCCUAGCA
rnacentral:lncRNA from 1 species